UGGAAUAGAAGUCAGAAGAUUAUGGUGUUUCACCAGUUUUCUCCAGUAUGUAAAGUCUGUACAUUAUGGUUACCUCUGCUGCUCAUCCUACUCAAAAAGGUGUUCAAGUAUGGAAUAAAGCAUGAACAAUCUAAGCUAGUGCACACACAAAAAGAACUGUCACUUUGCCGACCUUACCAUUUCCCUGGUAUAGUCAUAUGGGCCACUAGUGGAAGAAGGACAAAGAUUCAUAGAGUUCUGGGUAAAUGCAGAAACCACAUUCCUCUGGG